GGUCAGCUUGACUCAGUGUCUGUUGGAGGGCUCUUUCAGUGUCACUAGCCAGCGCUGCAGUAACGUUACUGAUCUCCCUUUCAGCAUCAGUUUAUGAAAUGGACUGUUUUGUCCUUGAUUUUAACACAAUAGUGUCCCCUCUUUUGUCCCCAAAGUCUCCGUCUUUCACGGCCUCUACCGUUGUAUCUGUGUUGCUCAGCCGAGCCAACCGACAUCGUGACGUCACAGGCUACUACUGCAACACGGCGGAGCUCUUGUCUUAACUUGGUUGAACGCUGCCCGUGCUCAGAUAAUCCGUCAUACCUUCCAGUGCACCUCUGUUAAACAGAUCCUUGAUAUGAUAGUUGUGUCACUUGCGUUUUGUUGUACAUGAUUGAUUCUGCGUAGCCACAGAACAUGACGUGACGUAUUAGUUGUGAGUUUGUUUUUAAGGUGACUUCAUGAACUUUUUCCUGCACAUUAUUUACUGUAGAUGUUGGAGUGCUUUCUUUGCUGUUGACUAAAGAACGACUGAAAUCUUUGUUAAACUGUUGAAAACAAGUCUAAAACCUAAAGAAGAAAGUUUUUGUUCUACCUGAAUGAGACAGUCUUUCAACUCUCUACCCAGAAACGUCUCCUAAAUGUGAUGCUGCGUUAGACUCAGACAGAGCCAAGGUUUGACUGAAGGAGCUGUCCUUGGUGCUGAACUCACAGCUCUCAUACACUGUGUAGUAUACUCGCUACCAGUCAUGGACACACAUAUAGCCCCCAGAAGGGUCUUACACUAGACAAAUUAUGGUAUAACUCAAUCCAUUACACUUGUUUGUUUUCCUGACAAGAUGUCAAAUCCCAGGACAAGCGAGUUAUUUCAGCCCAGCGUGGGAGGAGAUAGCAGCUGAAUGGAAUCCAUGUUUGGGUCUGACUCUGGGAUGUUUCACAGAGGGAAAGGGAUACCUACUUUUGUUCCAAACCUGGCAGACGGUCAACUCCCAUUAGUUUCCUUUCCCACCGUUGUCACGUCUUGUCCAGUCAACCUCUAUAGGUACAACAGGGCAGACAAUACAUUAAAAGCCUGGGCAAGAUAAAGGAAGACCAUAGUGACAACUCCCCAACUUUGUUUUCCACAGGAUCAGAACAAAGUGAAACAACUUGUGAAGUAGUUUAUGUGUGUGUGAGUUGCAGCCUAAAUGAUGGCGACAGAUAAAAGUAGCUUAAGAGGCAGUUUGUGGGAGAACAAGAAGGUACCGCCUGCAGAGAGGAACCAUUUAUAGUGGGCAAGAGCAGCAUGGGACCACAUUUCUGCACUUGUUUUUCUUGACUUGUUUUUGAAAAACACCCCCUUGUCUCAAUGAAGAAUACAAUUGCAGAAGAAGCCGCGUGUCCACUCUUGUUGACGAAUGCACAUUUAUGCACAGCGGAGGCUCUCACGCGCCCACGAACACAGCGAGAGGGGGGACGAUUUUUCGGAGACGUAGUCGCAGACGGAAGGGGGGGGGGCUCGGAAUGAUCCAUCAGCGGGAGUGGUUGGAGCGCACAUCAGGCGAGAGAAAUGACAACGGCGUCUCAGACAGAUGAAUCAGCCCAGUCGCUGUGAAAGGAGCGUGAAAGAGAUGUUCACAUUCAUCCAUCCAUCCUCGUCAGCAGCCGGCGGGGCCACCCGGCUGUCCCCCCUCCCCUCACAAACCUGACACAUUCACCCACACACACUUAUAUUCGCUCUGGAGAGACACUCACCCAGUCACACAUGCAUGCACUUAACAUCUACAAAUGUUCACACACCCUCAUGGGGGGGAGGGGAGUUAGCCACAUCUUGUUGACAUUUUCAUAGGCACUAGGAGUAAUUUAUGUAAGGUUAGCUUGCUCCCAGUGCACUGGGCCAGAACACAGUAAAAGCAAACAGAGGGAGAAAGAGAACAAAUUGCUUUUUUAAAUUGCUCAGACAAGGGUUGCUCUUUUUGCUCUAUUAGGACAUAGUGCAAACACUGCUACAAAGCAGGGGGGCAAACCACAGGAGCGUGACUAAAUCUAAUAGAAAUACCAUUUGCCAACGCGGGUACCAACGGGGCCGUUGGCAUCUGCAUGGAACUAGUUUGAUCUGGAUGGAAAACAUUAUGAACUGGCACAGCGCUAAGCUAAAUGGAGCUGGCAUUUACCUACAAAGCAGUCUAUUUUCAGCCAGCAAGGUGAGGAUAACUUUGUCUCAUGAGGGACAAAGCAGCGAAGCGUCUAAAAAUAUCAGGAGAAGCAAACAUGUUCCACUUUUUACAUAUUGCUGAUGCUGUAUUACUUUAAAGGGGACCUGUUAUGCUUGUUUUCAGGUGCAUACAUGUAUUUUGGGUUUCUAUUAGAACGCAUAUAAUGCUCAAAAAACACUUUAUUUUUCUUAGAGAUGCCAUUUUUUCUUUACCAAUAUCAAUUCUGAUACCUGAACUUGCAGUGUUGGCAGAUAAUGAGUACCGAUCCGAAACCAGCGUGACAAAAAGAAAUAUAGUUAUUAUUAUCAUUAUCAUUAUCAGCAGUGGUUAGCACUGUCGCCUCACAGCAAGAGGGUCGCAGCUUCAAACCCGGCUUGCGGCCCUUCGGUGUGGAGUUUGAAUGUUCUCCCCGUGUUAGCGUGGGUUUUCUCCGGGUGCACCGGUUUCCCCCCACAGUCCAAAGACAUGCAGGUUAGGUUAAUU